rnacentral:rRNA from 1 species
GGACUACCAGGGUUUCUAAUCCUGUUUGCUCCCCACGCUUUCGCACCUCAGUGUCAGUAUCUUCCCAGGUAGCCGCCUUCGCCACAGGUGUUCUUUCUGAUCUCUACGCAUUUCACCGCUACACCAGAAAUUCCACUACCCUCUAAAGUACUCUAGUCCUACAGUAUUGACUGACCCUCCCAGGUUAAGCCCGGGGCUUUCACAGUCAACUUAUAGCACCACCUACGUGCGCUUUACGCCCAGUAAUUCCGAUUAACGCUUGCACCCUCUGUAUUACCGCGGCUGCUGGCAC